AUGGCCGCUACAGACCCUUCCUACUACCAGAGUGGUGUUUGCCAAGACAUCAAACAGAAGGAGCAUCUCUUCCACUUAUACAUGAACCAGAUAUUUGAUGGAACCCCAAAUGCCAACCAACAAGCUAUUGUCAAACCAGGUCUUCCUUUUGGGUUUGGUCACACUGUUGCAAACGACUGGACCAUAGGUGAUGGUCCGGCUGCCGAUGCUAACCUUGUCGCACGUGCCCGUGGCAUGCACAUGGGUGUGGGCAAAGUCGAUGAGAACUGGUUAUUCUGUCACAAUAUAUUGUUCACUGAUACCAGGUUUAAGGGGUCAAGCCUUAAGGUUCUUGGAGACUUUGUAAGCAAAGAAGAUAGUGAAUGGGCAAUUGUUGGUGGGACUAGAAAGUUCGCAUAUGCACAUGGUGUUGUGGUCGCCAAAAUUCUCCCAAAUGUACCACCUGCUCCUGCACGUACUUGGGAGCUUCGUAUUAGUGCUUUCUGUUUGUGCAUCCCCAAAGUGACCCCAGUGACAAAGAUGGGACUUUGGGGUGGGAAUGGGGGGAUAUCCUUUGACAUUACGGAGAUGCCUCGUUCUCUCCAAACUGUGACAAUUAGAUGUGGCGAUGUGAUUAACUCAGUUAUGUUUUCCUACACUGACCAAGCUGGUCAUAAGAAAAUUGCCGGACCAUGGGGCGGUGAUGGUGCACUUACUGUAACGAUCACACUUGCUCCUUCCGAGUUUAUAAGGCAAGUUCUUGGAACAACCGGCACAGUUGGAGGAGAGACAGUUGUUACUUCACUUUCCUUUGUCAGCAGCGUUACAACUUAUGGGCCUUUUGGAAAAGCAAACGGCACCCCAUUUGGCAGCCAGGUUCCAGAUGGUAACAACAUUGGGGGAUUCUAUGUGCGUGUUGGGGGGUUUGUUAAUGCACUUGGCGUUUACACGUGCCCAAGUUAG
rnacentral:rRNA from 1 species